rnacentral:rRNA from 1 species
UACGGGGGGGGCAAGCGUUGUUCGGAAUUACUGGGCGUAAAGGGCUCGUAGGCGGCCAAUUAAGUCAGACGUGAAAUCCCUCGGCUUAACCGGGGAACUGCGUCUGAUACUGGAUGGCUUGAGGUUGGGAGAGGGAUGCGGAAUUCCAGGUGUAGCGGUGAAAUGCGUAGAUAUCUGGAGGAACACCGGUGGCGAAGGCGGCAUCCUGGACCAAUCCUGACGCUGAGUGAGCGAAAGCCAGGGGAGCAAACGGG